rnacentral:rRNA from 1 species
UGGGGAAUAUUCCGCAAUGGACGAAAGUCUGACGGAGCAACGCCGCGUGAGUGAUGAAGGUUUUCGGACUGUAAAGCUCUGUUGUUUAGGACGAAAGUGCCUGUUGCGAACAGUUACAGGUAUUGACGGUACUAAACGAGGAAGCCACGGCUAACUACGUGCCAGCAGCCGCGGUAAUACGUAGGUGGCAAGCGUUGUCCGGAAUUAUUGGGCGUAAAGAGCAUGUAGGCGGAGAUUUAAGUCUGUUGUGAAAAUGCGGGGCUCAACCCCGUAUUGCAAUGGAAACUGAAUUUCUUGAGUGCAGGAGAGGAAAGGGGAAUUCCCAGUGUAGCGGUGAAAUGCGUAGAUAUUGGGAGGAACACCAGUGGCGAAGGCGCCUUUCUGGACUGUGUCUGACGCUGAGAUGCGAAAGCCAGGGUAGCGAACG